GAUGAACGCUAGCGGCACGCUUCAUACAUGCAAGUCGAGGGGCAGCAUAAAGUACUUGUACUUUGAUGGCGACCGGCGAACGGGUGCGUAACGCGUAUGCAACUUACCUUUUACUAGAGAAUAGCCAAGAGAAAUUUUGAUUAAUGCUCUAUAAACUUAUUAAUUCUCAUGAAUCUAUAAGAAAAGCUCCGGCGGUAAAAGAUGGGCAUGCGUCCUAUUAGCUUGUAGGUGAGGUAACGGCUCACCUAAGCUCCGAUAGGUAGGGGUCCUGAGAGGGAGAUCCCCCACACUGGUACUGAGACACGGACCAGACUUCUACGGAAGGCAGCAGUAAGGAAUAUUGGACAAUGGAGGCAACUCUGAUCCAGCGAUGCCGCGUGAAGGAAGACGGCCCUAUGGGUUGUAAACUUCUUUUAUACAGGAAGAAACCUUUCCACGUGUGGAAAGCUGACGGUACUGUAAGAAUAAGGAUCGGCUAACUCCG
rnacentral:rRNA from 1 species